UACAGAGACUGCAAGCGUUAUUCGGAUUCACUGGGCGUAAAGGGUGCGCAGGCGGCCGUGUGUGUGAGGCGUGAAAGCCUGGAGCUUAACUCCAGAAUUGCACCUCAAACUACACGGCUAGAGCAUUGGAGAGGGUAGCAGAAUUCACGGUGUAGCAGUGAAAUGCGUAGAUAUCGUGAGGAAUACCAGGGGCGAAGGCGGCUACCUGGACAAUUGCUGACGCUCAGGCACGAAAGCGUGGGGAGCAAAAGGG
rnacentral:rRNA from 1 species